rnacentral:sRNA from 1 species
UGUGUGCUGAGUGAACCACAUCCUUUGGUGUUACCGCGAGUGCCACAGUCUAAGGUGCUGUCCAUUACCUCAAAUCUGCCCAGUGGCAGCCGACUCGCUCUCCUCUCCCUCACCAAUGCCCCUGAGUCGAAAUAAUCUGCUACCACCUAUUGGCACAGCUGAAGUGGAACAUGUGAGCACUGUGGGGCCACAAAGACAGAUGACACCCCAUGGCGACUCUAGUCGAGCUCAAAGUGCGGUGGUGGAUGAACCUAACUAUCAGCAGCCACAAGAAAGGCUCCUUUUGCCCGACUUUUUCCCCAGGCCCAACACAACUCAAUCAUUUUUGGUAGAGUGACAUACUUCCUAGAAUGGUCUUGAUAACUGGGGAAAGAAAAGGUCGGGGGAAUACUAGUUUGGCAGACUUAAGAUUUUAUCUAGAGGCUUAACUCAGAAUAAAAGUUGAGUUUCCAACAAUAAAAACAGUGUUAUAAAUACAUUUUGUUCAAAUUCU